rnacentral:rRNA from 1 species
AGAAGCUGGCGGCACGCCUAACACAUGCAAGUCGAGCGCACCCUUCGGGGUGAGCGGCGGACGGGUUAGUAACGCGUGGGGAACAUACCCUUUUCUACGGAAUAGCCUCGGGAAACUGAGAGUAAUACCGUAUACGCCCUUCGGGGGAAAGAUUUAUCGGAGAAGGAUUGGCCCGCGUUAKAUUAGAUAGUUGGUGGGGUAACGGCCUACCAAGUCUACGAUCUAUAGCUGGUUUUAGAGGAUGAUCAGCAACACUGGGACUGAGACACGGCCCARACUCCUACGGGAGGCAGCAGUGGGGAAUCUUAGACAAUGGGCGCAAGCCUGAUCUAGCCAUGCCGCGUGUGUGAUGAAGGCCUUAUGGUCGUAAAGCACUUUCGCCAGGGAUGAUAAUGACAGUACCUGGKAAAGAAACCCCGGCUAACUCCGUGCCAGCAGCCGCGGUAAUACGGAGGGGGUUAGCGUUGUUCGGAAUUACUGGGCGUAAAGCGUACGUAGGCGGAUCAGAAAGUAGGGGGUGAAAUCCCGAGGCUCAACCUCGGAACUGCCUCCUAAACUCCUGGUCUUGAGUUCGAGAGAGGUGAGUGGAAUUCCAAGUGUAGAGGUGAAAUUCGUASAUAUUUGGAGGAACACCAGUGGCGAAAGCGGCUCACUGGCUCGAUACUGACGCUGAGGUACNAAAGUGUGGGGAGCAAACAGGAUUAGAUACCCUGNUAGUCCACACCGUAAACNAUGAAUGCCAGUCGUCCGGCANUAUAAUUGNUCGGUGGACACACCUCACGGAAUUAAGCAUUCC